AAAAAGUAAAAGAAGGGCAGACGGUGGAUGCCUAGGCUCUCGGAGGCGAAGAAGGACGUGAUAAGCUGCGAAAAGCUCGGGGGAGGUGCAAAUAACCUUUGAUCCCGAGAUAUCCGAAUGGGGUAACCCGGCUGGUUGAAGGCCAGUCACACCGCAAGGUGAGCGAACGUGGGGAACUGAAACAUCUAAGUACCCACAGGAAGAGAAAAUAAGAAUGAUUGCGUAAGUAGUGGCGAGCGAACGCGCAAGAGCCCAAACCAUGGUUGUUUCGGCAUCCCAUGGGGUUGUAGGACCGCGACGUAGCAAGAAAAGAUGAAAGUGGAACCCGCUGGAAAGAGGGCCAUAGAGGGUGAAAGUCCCGUACACGAAAUCAUUUUGAAGCUUAGCGGUAUCCUGAGUAGGUCGGGACACGUGAAAUCCUGUCUGAAACUGCGGGGCCCAUCCCGUAAGGCUAAAUACUUCCGAGAGACCGAUAGCGAACCAGUACCGUGAGGGAAAGGUGAAAAGAACCUCGAACAGAGGAGUGAAAUAGACCCUGAACCCGUCUGCCUACAAGCGGUCGGAGCACUGUAUACGUGUGACGGCGUGCCUUUUGCAUAAUGAACCUACGAGUUACUUUUUUUGGCAAGGUUAAGUGUCAAGUAGGCAUGUAGCCGAAGCGAAAGCGAGUCUGAACAGGGCGGAUAGUCAAAAGGAGUAGACGCGAAACCAAGUGAUCUACCCAUGAUCAGGUUGAAGGUUAGGUAACACUAACUGGAGGACCGAAUGGAUAUACGUUGAAAAGUGUUCCAAUGAAUUGUGGGUAGGGGUGAAAGGCUAAUCAAACUUGGAGAUAGCUCGUACUCCCCGAAAUGCAUUUAGGUGCAGCCUCGGGUGUUUUUGAUGAGAGGUAGAGCGACUGAUUGGAUGCGAGGGCUUCACCGCCUAUCAAGUCCAGACAAACUCCGAAUGCUCAUCAUAUGGAUCCCGGGAGUGAGGGCAUGGGUGCUAAGGUCCAUGUCCGAAAGGAGAAGAAUCCAGACCAUCAGCUAAGGUCCCGAAAUAGCCGCUCAGUUGCAUUUAACGAAGUCAGACCGCAUAGACAGCUAGGAUGUUGGCUUGGAAGCAGCCAUUCAUUUAAAGAGUGCGUAACAGCUCACUAGUCGAGGGGUCUGGCAUGGAUAAUAAUCGGGCAUAAGCGGUUUACCGAAGCUAUGGAUAUCGCAAGAUAUGGUAGGGGAGCAUUCCAUACUCUGCGUUGAAGAUAAAAGGUGACUUUUGUUGGAGCGUAUGGAAAAGCAAAUGUAGGUAUGAGUAACGAUAAAGGAGGUGAAAAACCUCCUCGCCGAAAGACCAAGGAUUCCUGAUCAACGCUAAUCGGAUCAGGGUUAGUCGGGGCCUAAGGAUAAGCCGAAGGGCGAUUCCGAUGGAAGAGCCGGUUAAUAUUCCGGCACUGCUAUAUUGAGCGAUGUGGGGACGGAGAAGUGACAGCACUGCCAACGGAUGGAAUAGUUGGUUGAAGGGUGUAGACGUUGAUUGCGGCAGGCAAAUCCGCCGCGAGAGUCGAACCUGACAGUAUGCAGCGUACUUGUACAAUGUAAUAUGUGCGUAAACAGGCUCCCAAGAAAAUCCGCUAAGCAUAUUGAUAUAGCACUCGUACUGUAAACGGACACACGUGGUCGGGUAGAAAAUACUAAGGCGCUCGAGAGAUUCACGGUUAAGGAACUAGGCAAAAUGGUCCUGUAACUUCGGGAGAAAGGACGCCAAUUGAAACAUAUUGGCCGCAGAGAAUCGGCCCAGGCGACUGUUUAACAAAAACACAUGACUAUGCUAAAUCGAAAGAUGAUGUAUAUGGUCUGACACCUGCCCGGUGCUGGAAGGUUAAGAGGAGAACUCAUUCGAAAGGAGAAGGUUUGAAUUGAAGCCCCAGUAAACGGCGGCCGUAACUAUAACGGUCCUAAGGUAGCGAAAUUCCUUGUCGGGUAAGUUCCGACCUGCACGAAUGGUGUAACGAUCUGGGCACUGUCUCAACUGUGAGCUCGGUGAAAUUGUAGUAUCGGUGAAGAUGCCGAUUACCCGCGAUGGGACGAAAAGACCCCGUGAACCUUUACUAUAGCUUUACAUUGACGUUGGGCAUCGGAUGUGUAGGAUAGGCCGGAGACUGUGAAGCUGUGACGCCAGUCAUGGUGGAGUCGUUGUUGAAAUACGGCCCUUUUGGUGUUUGACUUCUAACUCCUGUUCAAUGGGAGGACACUGUAUGGUGGGUAGUUUGACUGGGGUGGUCGCCUCCAAAAGUGUAACGGAGGCUUCUAAAGGUACCCUCAGACCGAUUGGUAACCGGUCGCAGAGUGUAAUGGCAUAAGGGUGCUUGACUGAGAGACCUACAAGUCGACCAGGUAGGAAACUAGAGCAUAGUGAUCCGGUGGUUCCGCAUGGAAGGGCCAUCGCUCAAAGGAUAAAAGGUACUCCGGGGAUAACAGGCUGAUCGCCGCCAAGAGCUCAUAUCGACGCGGCGGUUUGGCACCUCGAUGUCGGCUCGUCACAUCCUGGGGCUGGAGAAGGUCCCAAGGGUUGGGCUGUUCGCCCAUUAAAGUGGCACGCGAGCUGGGUUCAGAACGUCGUGAGACAGUUCGGUCUCUAUCUAUCGUGGGCGUAAGAUAUUUGCGGGGAUCCUGACACUAGUACGAGAGGACCGUGUUGGACAGACCGCUGGUUUACCGGUUGUUUCGCCAGGAGCACAGCCGGGUAGUUAAGUCUGGAAAGGAUAAGUGCUGAAAGCAUCUAAGUACGAAGCCUUCCUCAAGAUGAGAUAUCUAUAUAAGGGUCGUUGUAGACUACGACGUUGAUAGGCUGCAGGUGUAAAGGUGGUAACAUCCAAGCCGAGCAGUACUAAUUGCCCGAAACUUUUUUAU
rnacentral:rRNA from 1 species